AAUACAUGAUGACAAUAGUUUCGGUCUUGGAUGAAAAACUGUGAUUAUUGUUAUGAGAUUACCUGACAUU